AAUGAUUAGGGAGCUGGAGCACAUGACUUAUGAGGAGAGGCUGAGGGAACUGGGAUUGUUUAGCCUGCAGAAGAGAAGAAGGAGGGGGGAUUUGAUAGCUGCUUUCAAGUACCUGAAAGGACACAGUGAGGUCUGCGCUCGGAGAGGUUCUUGAUUUCAGCUCCACUGGGAUUUUGAGAGUGGCCCGGCAAACCCUUCCUAGCCUAGUAAUCCUUACCCCACAAAUUGUUCCACGGGAGCCAGUGGGGUCAGUCCCAUUAGUAGGGAUGGCAAGAUCUUAAAGAGAACUAGACCCUGCAGACAUUUGUCUGGUCCAGCCCCGGGCUCUGUUCCUGGCACUUCAGCGGGGGAAUUACACAAGGUACGCAGUAAGGUAGCUGAGGGGAACAGGUCCGCCCUGGGGGCAAGUGGGGCAAUCUGCCCCCGGCCCCCACGAGAAUACAGGAUUCUAUAGUAUUGCAACUCUUCUUCUUAUGGAAGCUGCCCCCAAAAUUGUUUUGCCCCAGGCCCCCUGAAUCCUCUGGGCAGCCCUGGGUAAAAAAACCCAAUACCUCCCUCCCCCUCCAAACCAGAAGCCUCAUUGAGACAAAUGGGAAACUCCCAGAGAGGAAAGAAAGCAGCACUUGGCCCCUGACCCACAUCUGAACAGUUCAGAACUUUAGGCCAAUUCCACCAAUUCCCCAGAAUCGCCCCGCACCUCAGAGGGCCCCGCGCCCAGUGAGGAUCCCUUCCCUGGCUAGAGGCGCCUUUUCAAUUUUAACUCACUUGGCGGCGCUCUGGGUCUUCGGCGGCGGGUCCUUCGCUUGCUCUGGGUCUUCGGCAGCACUUUGGCAGCGUGUCCUUCAGUGCCGCCGGAGAUCUGGAGCGAGAGAAGGACCCCGGGGAAGACCCAGAGCCCUGCCCGGUGAGUACAAGCCCCAUGUGUUUUUUUACAUUUUUUUUUAUAGUCAUCCCUGACAGCCCGAGGAAACUGUUCAAAUCGGGCCCCACACUUCCUAAAGCUGGCCCUGUCUGAACUUCCCAGGACACAUUUCCCUCUGCUCCCUCCCUGCACUUUCCAGCGGACCCGGACAUUGCUGGGAAGGCGGAUGGGCAGGGAAUUCAGUUCCAGCCCUCGCUCAGCGCCCCGAGGAAUUUUCACCUACUAGAGAGAGGCUCAGCCCAGUUUGAUCCUGUGACCCGACCCCACCUGAGUCACUGACCCCCCAGUGACCGGCCGUUCCACAGCCUCACGGCCCAGGAGUCUCCCACUACCAGAUCCCACCGCACUGAGGAUGAUGGCCCAGCACACACCCUCAUGAGAAUACCCCUAGUUUCCACCUAAGAUGUCCCCUGAAACUGACAAGGACUGUACCCUGGGAAAGGAUUGGGCCCAGACUAGAAAGGAGUCUAGUCUGUGAAAGGAGCUUACUGGAACAUCUCUGACGGGUCGAGACCUCUUCAUUUUCUAAGAAGGGAACUGAGGAAAAGGUUCCUUUACGUGACAUGCCCAGGUCACACCAGGGGUUUGUAGAUCAGCGAGGAAUGUAGUGACGAGGAAUCCAGUCUGCCAGCUGGAGACCCUACACACUGGACCCUCCUUCCUACUCUCAGGAAGCCCCGCCCCGCUGUCAGGAUCUGGGUGCUGAGCUGAGCCCGCUGUCUCUGUGUGGUAUAAACGGGAAACUUGUCCCCGAGGGGAUAUUGCCGUGUACUGAGACACCAUCCCCCGUCAUCUCUUCUGCCCACUCUGGGGAACCCGCAUGCAAAUCCCUGCCCCAGGGGGCUCCUGUUUAAAUACAAACCCCUGGUUCUAGGAGCCUCAGUCUCUCCCCAGACACAGAACUACUCAGUCCUGCCCGCUGGGGUCUUUCUUUCAUUGCAUGAAAACGAGAAUGAAAUUGCUGCUGCUUUUCCUUUCCCAGCUCUCACCUGUAAGUGGGUAUGUCUACACUAUGGGAUUAUACCGAUUUUACAGAAACCGAUUUUUUAAAAACAGAUUGUAUAAAGUCGAGUGCACGCGCCCACA